GAUGGCGACCGGCGCACGGGUGAGUAACGCGUAUCCAACCUACCCUUGUCCAUCGGAUAACCCGUCGAAAGGCGGCCUAACACGAUAUGCGGUUCUCAGCAGGCAUCUAACGAGAACGAAAUGUGAAGGAGAAGGAUGGGGAUGCGUCUGAUUAGCUUGUUGGCGGGGUAACGGCCCACCAAGGCGACGAUCAGUAGGGGUUCUGAGAGGAAGGUCCCCCACAUUGGAACUGAGACACGGUCCAAACUCCUACGGGAGGCAGCAGUGAGGAAUAUUGGUCAAUGGACGAGAGUCUGAACCAGCCAAGUAGCGUGCAGGAAGACGGCCCUAUGGGUUGUAAACUGCUUUUAUAGGGGGAUAAAGUGUGCCACGUGUGGCAUAUUGCAGGUACCCUAUGAAUAAGGACCGGCUAAUUCCGUGCCAGCAGCCGCGGUAAUACGGAAGGUCCAGGCGUUAUCCGGAUUUAUUGGGUUUAAAGGGAGCGUAGGCCGUUUGGUAAGCGUGUUGUGAAAUGUCGGGGCUCAACCUGGGCAUUGCAGCGCGAACUGCCAGACUUGAGUGCGCAGGAAGUAGGCGGAAUUCGUCGUGUAGCGGUGAAAUGCUUAGAUAUGACGAAGAACUCCGAUUGCGAAGGCAGCCUGCUGUAGCGCAACUGACGCUGAAGCUCGAAAGCGUGGGUAUCGAACAGGAUUAGAUACCCUGGUAGUCCACGCGGUAAACGAUGGAUGCUCGCUGUUUGCGUCUGACGUAAGCGGCCAAGCGAAAGCGUUAAGCAUCCCACCUGGGGAGUACGCCGGCAACGGUGAAACUCAAAGGAAUUGACGGGGGCCCGCACAA
rnacentral:rRNA from 1 species